CAACUUCUCAAGCCUUGCAUAGACACAAAACCUGUACAGACUUUCCUUUUUUCUAGCACUACAAAAGUAUGGAAACUCCCAUGAGAAAACUCAGUUUACAUGGGAACGAGCAAACCUCAACAAGCGCCACUUUUACGGUCACUAACAACCAAAAAAGACCAAAAAUUCCAAGAAAGGUGAUCAUGCACACUGCAGGUCAAGAAGCACUCAUGGCACGACACCUACUUUCAUAGCUGGAGCAGCAGCAGGCUUGCUGGUUUCCUGCAGCGAGAUGACGCUCUGUCAGUCUCAAAGGCGUCGACGAGUGCCUUCACCUUACUCUUCCUCGCCUCAGCGACUCGGUCACGUUGUUGAACAGCCCUGGCUCCUGCUUUUUCGUUUCCUUCCUGUCCUGCCACCACCGCAGCACAACGACCUUGGCACCCGUGUCUCUCGCUACAGCAUCGUCGCCGCUCCUCCUACUUGUGAUCCUGUCGCAUCUGCUCCUGGAUGUCGCAAAUCAAAGGCACCCCGGGAAUUAAGGGGUAGCAGUGACAUGUAACUCGAGUAAAAUGCAGAUGCUUACCUUUGCAUUAAAAUGGUGGUUCCUUGUUACUGUAACCAGCUGAAAGAGAGAAAAAAUAUGCAAGAUGCAGUGAAGGAGAUGAACUGCAAUGAACUCUCUGACAUCUAUAAAUUUCUGACAUGUAAAACUCUCUAUCAUGCACAAAUUAAAAUCCUAUGGAAGGAUAGACUGAAGGAUUGAUUUUCAGUAUUUCUCUUAGUUGUGUUAGCAGCCAAGUAAUAUAUGUUUAACUAAAUAGAUGCAGUACUGUCUUGGUUUUCAGUCCAGAAGGUGAAUGAGUGUCAAGUUAACAAUUCCAAUAAUAAAAUUGACAUUGCCCGCAUCUGAUCAGCAACCACAUAUCUCGAAAUGACUUGUAGGAUAAAAAUAAGACAGAGAACAUCGCAUUAAUAGAUCUAACAACAUUGGAUGUCCCUGAUUCAUGCUGCAAACUCUAAUGCAAUAACAAAACAUGACCGUAAGAGUGAAUUUCAGUGUUGACGCACCUAAUGAGUUGAACAAAAUGCCAGCCUGAUGCCAUUAAGAUUCCUAGAAAAACAGGCACGAUAGAUGAUGUAGCAGUAGCCGCAGCAGUAGAGGAAGUAGGGAGGCAGAGCUGGUGGAGCCACAUCCAACCUACCAAGAAAUGAGCAAGACUUUUAAGCAUCCAUACUUUUUUUACCAUCAACACUGAUAUUCUUUUUUUCACAAGUGAUGAAUACCUAGGCUGGUCUGUAGGCAAGGGGAAAAAUCAAACAUAUAGACUAAAUGAAACUUAAACAAAAAACUAAUUACCCAGACAUAGCAAUUGACCCGAGUGUUUAGCCUUGCAAUAUUUUUUUGCUUCAGUCGUAAUUGGACGACAUCUAUGUUGAGGCAUGUUAAAAAAAAUUAACUUGCUCCACACAGGAGCGAAGCCGCAACACGGAUCAGAGGUGGAGGGCAGGCAUUCGGAGCUCACCUCGGCAGGCGGGCAGUUGGGAGACUUGAGUGUUCUCUGGUAUACAAAAAUCUGAUCAUAAACCUUGCUUCCAUGUACUGCAUUUAAGAGAGACUAAUAGCAUAGUAUCCCUGUUUUAUGAGUUCUAGUGUGUGUCUGGUGAUAUGCUCUUGUUCCCUGUUGUCUAUUUAAAUACAAUGUCCAAUUCAGUAUUUAUUUAGGCCAUGUUUGGAUAUUUGGAAUUAAAAUUUAUUCUAAUAAUCAUAAUUUAUACAUAGAUCAAUUAAGCUAAUAUGGUUAUAUGUGGAAUAUAUUUGUAAACUACUGUUAGACAUAUAAAGGAAAUACUUACAUGUUGCAUUUCUAUGUAUACUACUGUUAUUUGAUUGUCUGAAGUGAUCUAUGCAUCGAUCAUAUGACCAGAGAGUAGAUAUCCUCUGGAGGCAUCUGCCUUGGAAAGCUUUAGAUGUCUUCUAUUUGUCCCAUGUCUUUUUCCCGGUCCCUGCCCAUGCACAAAAUGGUACCAUAUUCAGAGUUUUAAAAACAUGCAUAGCACGUUGAAAUGGUAGGCGCAAACUUUGAUCUGUAGAAACCGAAAACAUGCAUAGCAACUUGCAUAAAACAUAUACAUGUUGCAAAAAGUAUGCAUCAAUAGUAGGUAUGGGAAUAUAAAUGUUGCUGAAAAUAUACAGGUUGCAGAAAAUGAAAAUCUAUACAAAUUGAAAACUGCCAUAGAAAUUGAAAUUUAGUACAAACUGAAAAGGUAGAUGUCUAUUUAUAUGAAGUGUCUGUUUAUGUUGCAAAAAUACGCAGGUUGUUCAAAGUGGUGUAGGCUGAAUUCUGAAUUUUCAGAUUUAGAAUAGUGCCUAAGUCUGAAUUUCAGUGAUUGUGACAGACUUUGGAGCUUCCUUGUGCUGUUGUGCAUAAUCCAUAAGGUUUUGAACUAUGGUUUCUAUAGAGGAAUUGAAGACCAUAAGUUGGUGUAUAAAUGUAUUUAAGGGUGAUGGAUAUGAUCCUACACAAAAAGUGGAGAAAAAGUUGACUGAAAAUGGACUAUUGGGUUACUCGUGACUGAAAUUGGUUCAGUUAAUUAAAACUGAAAUUCAGUAAAAGGUACCGAUUUUGGAGCUCAUUUGUGGCUAAUCCAUUUGGUUUUGGGCUAAAUUUUAUAUAUAUAAUUUGAAGAUCACAGUAAGGUGAACAAGUUUAUGCAAAUAAUUGGUCUUGUUAUUGUGUGUAAUUUGGAGAUAAUAGUGUUACGAAACUCCCUGUCAGAUUGGGUGCAGAGCUGUUUCAGACCUCUGAAACUGAAUUUUCAAAGUGGUGUAGGCUGCAAAUUGUGUAUCUAUAUGCAGAUAGCAGAACCUGUACUGAAAGUGUACAAGUUGUUUGUAACACUGAAUAAAGUGAAUAAAGUGUUGUAUGUAAUCAAAAUAAAGUGUUGUCUGUCAAGUGGUUUGGUUUGUGAUAGAACAAUGUCUACAUAUAUAGAAAUUAAUUCUCUAGCAACUGAUCUCAUGCACUCUGAACUCUUGCAAGCUUUGUAACAUUUCCAAAUUGCUUCAACCUGAUAGGCCUCUGUGAUUGCAGAAUGAAAGGCCUCUGUGUUUCAUCCAAAGUGGGUGCAUGCAUCAAUUUAGUAACAGAAAUUCACCGCAAUGGGUGUACCAGCCAAGCCAAAGAGUCUAAGUUACAGAUUUUGAGGAGGCAGAGUGGCUGGGAGGGAGUCUCAUUUCAGAAUAGGUCCUAUGUUGAACAACGCAUAAGCAGCUUCUCCAUGCUAAGUAGUCGAGCAGAAUAAUAUGCGGGCAAUGACUCGUACCAGCUGUUGGGCAUAUCGGAGCGGGGCAUGCCGUCAGCCUUCUUCGCGUGGCGGUCGCAGCACGGGACGUCGCUGGUGGGCAUCCUCUUCUCUGCGUUGGGCGUCCUUGGCGUAGACAGGGAAGUAGCUCGGCGCGACUUCCGCCCGACGUCCUUGGGCCACCGCGAGGCCCGUGUGCCCUGGGACUGCCUCACAUGGAGCUCGGCCAGGUUCGCGCUCUCCUAUCUCGCACCGACACCUGGGAGCAGCAGGGCCUGCCGUCGCACGUGAUGCUCAGCGGGACGAUGCGGCCAAAUCCUCACCAGGUUAUGCAAGGACAAGCACAGCGUGUGGUUCAACGCACACGUCGAGGUGGAGCGUCUUAGCCUCCAUGACUACCACGCCGUUCCCGCCAAGGAGGGCCUCGCUGCCGAAUGGUACGCCUCGCAGUAGGGUAUGGCGAGGUUUCGGGGGGAUCUCGCGCCGAGAUUUCUGUGGUGCACAUGGAAGAGGGCAAUUCAUGACGGGGGCGGACAACGCGGGAGCGGCGGGUGGGUGUGCGGGGCAGGAGCGUUGGCAGAGGCGGGGACAGGUGGGGGCCUUCUGGGUGUGGACGCCCACGGGCUGGGGCUCCGUUGAAGGGAUGGG
rnacentral:lncRNA from 1 species